UCGANGUGGGGAUUGAACCACGACGGUCGCGUU
rnacentral:tRNA from 1 species